UGGGGAAUAUUGCACAAUGGGCGCAAGCCUGAUGCAGCCAUGCCGCGUGUGUGAAGAAGGCCUUCGGGUUGUAAAGCACUUUCAGCGGGGAGGAAGGCGGUGAGGUUAAUAACCUCAUCGAUUGACGUUACCCGCAGAAGAAGCACCGGCUAACUCCGUGCCAGCAGCCGCGGUAAUACGGAGGGUGCAAGCGUUAAUCGGAAUUACUGGGCGUAAAGCGCACGCAGGCGGUCUGUCAAGUCGGAUGUGAAAUCCCCGGGCUCAACCUGGGAACUGCAUUCGAAACUGGCAGGCUAGAGUCUUGUAGAGGGGGGUAGAAUUCCAGGUGUAGCGGUGAAAUGCGUAGAGAUCUGGAGGAAUACCGGUGGCGAAGGCGGCCCCCUGGACAGAGACUGACGCUCAGGUGCGAAAGCGUGGGGAGCAAACAGG
rnacentral:rRNA from 1 species